UAGGGAAUCUUCGGCAAUGGGGGCAACCCUGACCGAGCAACGCCGCGUGAGUGAAGAAGGUUUUCGGAUCGUAAAGCUCUGUUGUAAGUCAAGAACGGGUGUGAGAGUGGAAAGUUCACACUGUGACGGUAGCUUACCAGAAAGGGACGGCUAACUACGUGCCAGCAGCCGCGGUAAUACGUAGGUCCCGAGCGUUGUCCGGAUUUAUUGGGCGUAAAGCGAGCGCAGGCGGUUUGAUAAGUCUGAAGUUAAAGGCUGUGGCUCAACCAUAGUUCGCUUUGGAAACUGUCAAACUUGAGUGCAGAAGGGGAGAGUGAAUUCCAUGUGUAGCGGUGAAAUGCGUAGAUAUAUGGAGGAACACCGGUGGCGAAAGCGGCUCUCUGGUCUGUAACUGACGCUGAGGCUCGAAAGCGUGGGGAGCGAACAGGAUUAGAUACCCUGGUAGUCCACGCCGUAAACGAUGAGUGCUAGGUGUUGGAUCCUUUCCGGGAUUCAGUGCCGCAGCUAACGCAUUAAGCACUCCGCCUGGGGAGUACGACCGCAAGG
rnacentral:rRNA from 1 species